rnacentral:rRNA from 1 species
CCUACGGGAGGCAGCAGUAGGGAAUAUUGCUCAAUGGGGGAAACCCUGAAGCAGCAACGCCGCGUGGAGGAUGAAGGUUUUCGGAUUGUAAACUCCUUUUGUUAGAGAAGAUAAUGACGGUAUCUAACGAAUAAGCAACGGCUAACUCCGUGCCAGCAGCCGCGGUAAUACGGAGGGUGCAAGCGUUACUCGGAAUCACUGGGCGUAAAGAGCGCGUAGGCGGGAUAGCAAGUCAGAUGUGAAAUCCUAGGGCUUAACCAUAGAACUGCAUUUGAAACUGGUAUUCUAGAGUAUGGGAGAGGUAGGUGGAAUUCGUGGUGUAGGGGUAAAAUCCGUAGAUAUCAAGAGGAAUACUCAUUGCGAAGGCGACCUGCUAGAACAUAACUGACGCUGAUGCGCGAAAGCGUGGGGAGCAAACAGGAUUAGAUACCCGUGUAGUC